ACGGUAAUCAUGCGAAUAAGGGGCGGCUAAUUACGUGCCAGCAGCCGCGGUAACACGUAAGCCCCAAGCGUUGUUCGGAAUUAUUGGGCGUAAAGGGCAUGUAGGCGGUUAUGUAAGCCUGAUGUGAAAUCUACGAGCUUAACUCGUAAACUGCAUUGGGUACUGCGUAACUUGAAUCACGGAGGGGAAACCGGAAUUCCAAGUGUAGGGGUGGAAUCUGUAGAUAUUUGGAAGAACACCGGUGGCGAAGGCGGGUUUCUGGCCGAUGAUUGACGCUGAGAUGCGAAGGUGCGGGGAGCAAACAGGAUUAGAUACCCUGGUAGUCCGCACAGUAAACAAUGUACACUAGGCGUUGGAGCAAGAGCUUCAGUGCCGACGCAAACGCAUUAAGUGUACCGCCUGGGAAGUAUGCCCGCAAGGGUGAAACUCAAAGGAAUUGACGGGGGCCCACACAAGCG
rnacentral:rRNA from 1 species